GUCGCGGCACUCAUUGGUUGGAUGGGCUGCCAAUCACAGCCCCGCGCGCUCGCUGCGGGAGGUUGAUCGGGGCGCAUCGGAGGUUUGGAUUCAAACUGCCCAAAGCUCCAUCUCCCGCAAUGGCACAACAUUCCAGGCCAGGGGUCCCGAGGUGUGAGACGGACAUGAGGCAGCCCCGGAGCCUUCCCAACCUCCCUCUGCUGCCUGCACCCACGCCGGGCUGCCCCCCAAACUCAGAAGCUGACAUUAAUUCAUUAUGCUGAAAUCUGGAAAAUAAUCAAGAAAAAAUAGUUUGUGCCUCCGUAGGAAGGAUCAAAAUAA